CCUACGGGUGGCAGCAGUGAGGAAUAUUGGUCAAUGGACGAGAGUCUGAACCAGCCAAGUAGCGUGAAGGAUGACUGCCCUAUGGGUUGUAAACUUCUUUUAUAUGGGAAUAAAAUGUUCCACGUGUGGGAUUUUGUAUGUACCAUAUGAAUAAGGAUCGGCUAACUCCGUGCCAGCAGCCGCGGUAAUACGGAGGAUCCGAGCGUUAUCCGGAUUUAUUGGGUUUAAAGGGAGCGUAGGUGGAUUGUUAAGUCAGUUGUGAAAGUUUGCGGCUCAACCGUAAAAUUGCAGUUGAAACUGGCAGUCUUGAGUACAGUAGAGGUGGGCGGAAUUCGUGGUGUGGCGGUGAAAUGCUUAGAUAUCACGAAGAACUCCGAUUGCGAAGGCAGUUCACUGGACUGCAACUGACACUGAGGCUCGAAAGUGUGGGUAUCAAACAGGAUUAGAUACCCUAGUAGUC
rnacentral:rRNA from 1 species